AGUUGGUGGAGUGAUUUGUCUGGUUAAUUCCGUUAACGAACGAGACCUUAGCCUGCUAACUAGUCGAUUCAAUCCUGAUUGGCUUCGACUUCUUAGAGGGACUUUGUGAUUAAACACAAGGAAGUUUGAGGCAAUAACAGGUCU
rnacentral:rRNA from 1 species